GCGAGUGAUUUUCCCCCAUGGGUUGGAGAGGAGAUCUAUCGAGAAGUAUGAAGGAGCUCCGGAUUCUGCUCUGCCAGUCUUCUCCUGAGAGCGCUUCCACCAGGACGUUUUGUAGAGAAGAAUUACGACGACUUUAAGAGCCUAAACCCUACAUUCCCGAUCCUGGUCCGCGAAUGCAGUGGGAUCCAGCCUCAGAUGUGGGCGAGAUACGAUAUGGGCAUAGAGACUAGAGAGGUGUGUCAACUUGGAUAUGGAAUGAGGGAGCCGCAGAUUUUGAAGGCGCUCAAAGACCUUGUGAAAGCCGGAGGAGCUACAAAAGCCUAAGGUGGCGGUUGUUCAAAGACCUUGUUAAAUUCCAACUGCGUUUCUUUCCUUUGGAAAGGUGUGAUAGACUCUACCCAUGGACACAAGAUAGCUCGGGAUAUAGUUCCUGCUCCCAAAGGGGAAGGAGGACUAGGUUUACGAAAUAUACAAGUUUAAAAUAAUAUAUGUGAGCUGAAACUGGUUUGACAGAUAUUCUUUAAGAAUGAAUCA